AUAUUUUACUUUUUUAUACUUCAGUUGUUGGUCAUUCAAAGUAAAUAUUGUUGUAGUAAUAUAUUGUUUGUUUGCCUCUAGGAGCUCCUCCAAGAAGCUUGACUCAAAGGAAGCGGGAUUCUGCUAUGAACUCCAAUGUGCCAGUUUUGGAAGGUCAGUCUGUUUUUUUUAGACAAAAACAUAGCCUUCAGUUCAAAUAUAUUAAUAAUCACUUAUCAGAAAAGUCCAGUGCUAUAUAUCUAACCAUAUUGUAUGGCAUGGUUCCAUACAAAACCCUCAGUUAUUCAAGUGCUUAAUUUGGAUUUGUUCUUUCAACAUGGAUUUGGGAAGAAGGCAGGGUCUCUCAAAAUCAAACUGAAACGAAACUCAGUUUCAUUCUUCAUUUCAACCUUUCAUGCAUGACAGUGGAACCAGUCAAUGUCUAAUGCAAGUGCCCAUGAUGGCUGGACAUGUGAUGUGCAUAUACUUGCCAAAAGUUCUGUAGUUGAAUUCUUCAAGGCAGAUGGACCAAGUUAAGACAGAAAUUGUUAUGAUAUAAAAGGAAGAGUAAUCAGGAGUAUCAUUUUGACUUCAAAAUGAUAUCAGGGUCAAUUUGAUUUCUCUGUUAAGCCUGCUCUUAUCACCUGCAUUCAAUUGCAUUGGAUUAUAAAGCUUUGAAACACAACAAAGUGAUCAAAAUUUAUGAUGUUAGAUGAAUUUAUCUUAUUGAAUUGGAUGUUGUCUAUGGGGAUGAAGGGGAAGUGGAUAUGAAAGAAAUCGGUAGGAUUUGUCAAGAUGUCUCAUGAUUCCCAAACAGUGGCUAGUUUGAAAUCGUUAUUGGGGGUCUUCCUGCUCGUCAUAAGCUUGAAUUUGUGUUUUGCUGGUGUUCAUCAUAGAUGGUUCUCAAUGUUCAUUGACUUCUCACAAAUGUGGUCUCAGAUGCUUCUAUGAAGAAAGAAAUCAAAAGAAUUGCUAGCACCCGCAGCUAUACAAGUUUGAAGAAACUAUUUUCACUGUAUGAGAAAUGGUCGGAUUCUAUUCUUUCAUCAUAACUUAUCUACAAAAUGCAAUGGCAGGGAUAUCUGAACCUGGAAAUAACGAGAACUCACCAAUUAAAGCCACGAUCUACAAAGGAUAAGGCAGGAUAAAGAAAAAAAGUCUUGAGAGAACACAAGAACUAGUUGCUAUGAGAAGAUGGCGGCAGUACACAAUUAUUUGAUCUAGCAGGAGUUACCUGAGUUCCAACAAAUGAAGAGCCAACUGGGUAAAUACUGCUCUGCUGUUGAUGUACUCUGGGAAUGAAGGCCCAAAGAAUGAUAUUAUGGAGAUAAAGAUCAAUUUUAUUCUA